UUGUAGCCUGCUAUGGUAUAACUUAGUGGCAGACGGGUGAGUAAUAUAUAGGAAUCUACCUAGUAGUACGGAAUAAUUGUUGGAAACGGCAACUAAUACCGUAUACGCCCUACGGGGGAAAAAUUUAUUGCUAUUAGAUGAGCCUAUAUUAGAUUAGCUAGUUGGUGGAGUAAUGGCCUACCAAGGCAAUGAUCUAUAGCUGAUCUGAGAGGAUGAUCAGUCACACUGGAACUGAGAUACGGUCCAGACUCCUACGGGAGGCAGCAGUGGGGAAUAUUGGACAAUGGGCGAAAGCCUGAUCCAGCCAUGCCGCAUGAGUGAAGAAGGCCUUUGGGUUGUAAAGCUCUUUUAGUGAGGAAGAUAAUGACGGUACUCACAGAAGAAGUCCUGGCUAACUCCGUGCCAGCAGCCGCGGUAAUACGGAGAGGGCUAGCGUUAUUCGGAGUUAUUGGGCGUAAAGGGCGCGUAGGCUGGUUAGUAAGUUAAAAGUGAAAUCCCGAGGCUUAACCUUGGAACUGCUUUUAAAACUGCUAACCUAGAGAUUGAAAGAGGAUAGAGGAAUUCCUAGUGUAGAGGUGAAAUUCGUAAAUAUUAGGAGGAACACCAGUGGCGAAGGCGUCUAUCUGGUUCAAAUCUGACGCUGAGGCGCGAAGGCGUGGGGAGCAAACAGGAUUAGAUACCCUGGUAGUCCACGCUGUAAACGAUGAAUGUUAAAUAUGGGAAGUUUACUUUCUGUAUUACAGCUAACGCGUUAAACAUUCCGCCUGGGGACUACGGUCGCAAGAUUAAAACUCAAAGGAAUUGACGGGGACCCGCACAAGCGGUGGAGCAUGUGGUUUAAUUCGAUGCAACGCGAAAAACCUUACCACUCCUUGACAUGAAAAUCAUACCUAUUC
rnacentral:rRNA from 1 species